rnacentral:rRNA from 1 species
CAUUACACAUGCAGUCGAGCGGUAAGGCCUUUCGGGGUACACGAGCGGCGAACGGGUGACUUACAUGUGGGUGAUCUGCCCUGCACUUCGGGAUAAGCCUGGGAAACUGGGUCUAAUACCGGAUAUGACCUCCUAUCGCAUGGUGGGUGGUGGAAAGAUUUAUCGGUGCAGGAUGGGCCCGCGGCCUAUCAGCUUGUUGGUGGGGUAAUGGCCUACCAAGGCGACGACGGGUAGCCGACCUGAGAGGGUGACCGGCCACACUGGGACUGAGACACGGCCCAGACUCCUACGGGAGGCAGCAGUGGGGAAUAUUGCACAAUGGGCGAAAGCCUGAUGCAGCGACGCCGCGUGAGGGAUGACGGCCUUCGGGUUGUAAACCUCUUUCAGCAGGGACGAAGCGCAAGUGACGGUACCUGCAGAAGAAGCACCGGCUAACUACGUGCCAGCAGCCGCGGUAAUACGUAGGGUGCAAGCGUUGUCCGGAAUUACUGGGCGUAAAGAGUUCGUAGGCGGUUUGUCGCGUCGUUUGUGAAAACCAGCAGCUCAACUGCUGGCUUGCAGGCGAUACGGGCAGACUUGAGUACUGCAGGGGAGACUGGAAUUCCUGGUGUAGCGGUGAAAUGCGCAGAUAUCAGGAGGAACACCGGUGGCGAAGGCGGGUCUCUGGGCAGUAACUGACGCUGAGGAACGAAAGCGUGGGUAGCGAACAGGAUUAGAUACCCUGGUAGUCCACGCCGUAAACGGUGGGCGCUAGGUGUGGGUUCCUUCCACGGAAUCCGUGCCGUAGCUAACGCAUUAAGCGCCCGCCUGGGGAGUACGGCCGCAAGGCUAAACUCAAGGAAUUGACGGGGCCCGCACAAGCGGCGGAGCAUGU